rnacentral:lncRNA from 1 species
UCAAGGACAGAUGUGUUGCAGGAUCAACCGUUCUUCACUUCAGCUCCUGGGCUCGGGCUGGCCUGUUAUCUCCUCCUUCCAGACGUUCUUCGUGCCCCAUGUGUCACACAUUCUUCAUGUACGUUCCUGUUUCCCUGCUGCCAUUUCCACCUCUAAAACAGCCACUACUGACUGUCACUGCUGGUGAGGACAAGUCAGUCGUGUUAUUAGAGCCUUCCCACUUCACCCUUGAAAUUAAUGGACAAUAUACUCACUGGGAUUCCCCGAGCUCCUGCUGGUAACCCAGCUGUGUUGUCAUCAUGCAGCUGAGAGGUCCCUAACUCUUUGAGUUCUUCAACUGAAUUUGUAUGUAAGGCUUUUCGUCUACUCACUGAUGUUCUGGGUACUAAGGGCAUGAAGCUGUUUUGCAAAUAAUCUAGGUAUGUUAAAGUGUAACAUUUCCUGACUGCUUUUGGGAACAAAUCAGUUUGG